rnacentral:rRNA from 1 species
AGUGGGAAGGGUGAGUAAUAUAUCGGAACGUACCCAAGAGUGGGGGAUAACGCAGCGAAAGUUGCGCUAAUACCGCAUACGAUCUAAGGAUGAAAGCAGGGGACCGCAAGGCCUUGUGCUCCUGGAGCGGCCGAUAUCUGAUUAGCUAGUUGGUGAGGUAAAGGCUCACCAAGGCGACGAUCAGUAGCUGGUCUGAGAGGACGACCAGCCACACUGGAACUGAGACAUGGUCCAGACUCCUACGGGAGGCAGCAGUGGGGAAUUUUGGACAAUGGGAGCAAGCCUGAUCAGCAAUGCCGCGUGAGUGAAGAAGGCCUUCGGGUUGUAAAGCUCUUUUGUCAGGGAAGAAACGGCUGUGGCUAAUAUCCACGGCUAAUGACGGUACCUGAAGAAUAAGCACCGGCUAACUACGUGCCAGCAGCCGCGGUAAUACGUAGGGUGCAAGCGUUAAUCGGAAUUACUGGGCGUAAAGCGUGCGCAGGCGGUUUUGUAAGUCUGACGUGAAAUCCCCGGGCUUAACCUGGGAAUUGCGUUGGAGACUGCAAGGCUAGAAUCUGGCAGAGGGGGGUAGAAUUCCACGUGUAGCAGUGAAAUGCGUAGAGAUGUGGAGGAACACCGAUGGCGAAGGCAGCCCCCUGGGUCAAGAUUGGCGCUCAUGCACGAAAGCGUGGGGAGCAAACAGGAUUAGAUACCCUGGUAGUCCACGCCCUAAACGAUGUCUACUAGUUGUCGGGUCUUAAUUGACUUGGUAACGCAGCUAACGCGUGAAGUAGACCGCCUGGGGAGUACGGUCGCAAGAUUAAAA